GCUUGCUUUCUUUGCUGGCGACCGGCGCACGGGUGAGUAACACGUAUCCAACCUACCCUUUACUCGGGGAUAGCCUUUCGAAAGAAAGAUUAAUACCCGAUAGCAUAAUGAUUCCGCAUGGUUUCAUUAUUAAAGGAUUCCGGUAAAGGAUGGGGGAUGCGUUCCAUUAGGUUGUUGGUGGGGUAACGGCCCACCAAGCCUUCGAUGGAUAGGGGUUCUGAGAGGAAGGUCCCCCACAUUGGAACUGAGACACGGUCCAAACUCCUACGGGAGGCAGCAUG
rnacentral:rRNA from 1 species